GAGUUUGAUCUUGGCUCAGAACGAACGCUGGCGGCAUGCCUAACACAUGCAAGUCGAACGAACUCUUCGGAGUUAGUGGCGCACGGGUGCGUAACGCGUGGGAAUCUGCCCUUGGGUACGGAAUAACUCAGAGAAAUUUGUGCUAAUACCGUAUAAUGACUUCGGUCCAAAGAUUUAUCGCCCAAGGAUGAGCCCGCGUAAGACUAGCUAGUUGGUGGGUAAAGGCCUACCAAGGCUACGAUCUUUAGCUGGUCUGAGAGGAUGAUCAGCCACACUGGGACUGAGACACGGCCCAGACUCCUACGGGAGGCAGCAGUGGGGAAUAUUGGACAAUGGGCGAAAGCCUGAUCCAGCAAUGCCGCGUGAGUGAUGAAGGCCUUAGGGUUGUAAAGCUCUUUUACCCGGGAUGAUAAUGACAGUACCGGGAGAAUAAGCUCCGGCUAACUCCGUGCCAGCCG
rnacentral:rRNA from 1 species